rnacentral:rRNA from 1 species
AUUGAACGCUGGCGGCAGGCCUAACACAUGCAAGUCGAACGAGUGGCGGAAGGGUGAGUAAUGUCUGGGAAACUGCCUGAUGGAGGGGGAUAACUACUGGAAACGGUAGCUAAUACCGCAUACCAUCGGAUGUGCCCAGAUGGGAUUAGCUAGUAGGUGGGGUAAAGGCUCACCUAGGCGACGAUCCCUAGCUGGUCUGAGAGGAUGACCAGCCACACUGGAACUGUGACAGGGUGCAGGCUCCUACGGGAUGCAGCAGUGGGUAAGAUUGCACAAUGGGCGCAAGCCUGAUGCAGCCAGGCCGCGUGUAUGAAGAAGGCCUUCGGGUUGUAAAGUGCUUUCAGCGGGGAGACGUUGUCCGCAGAAGAAGCACCGGCUAACUCCGUGCCAGCAGCCGCGGUAAUAC